AACGAACGCUGGCGGCGCGCCUAAUACAUGCAAGUCGAGCGAGAAGACGUAGCAAUACGUUUGUAAAGCGGCGAACGGGUGAGGAAUACAUGGGUAACCUACCCUCGAGUGGGGAAUAACUAGCCGAAAGGUUAGCUAAUACCGCGUACGCUCCUUGGACUUCGGUUCGGGAGGAAAGCGAUACCGUGGGUAUCGCGCUCUUGGAUGGGCUCAUGUCCUAUCAGCUUGUUGGUGAGGUAACGGCUCACCAAGGCUUCGACGGGUAGCUGGUCUGAGAGGACGAUCAGCCACACUGGCACUGCGACACGGGCCAGACGUCCUACGGGAGGCAGCAGUAAGGAAUAUUGCGCAAUGGGCGAAAGCCUGACGCAGCGACGCCGCGUGGGGGAUGAAGGUCUUCGGAUUGUAAA
rnacentral:rRNA from 1 species